AAUAUAAUUGCUUAGUGGUUAGAGCGUCCGCUUUGUAUGUGGGAGGUCGUGGGUUCAAUCCCAGGUCGACUCAUACCA